CCUGUGAGCGCGGUGUUUCCUCCAGUUAAGGGAAACAUUUAUAUUCUCUCCGGCCCGCGCUCCGGGGCGCCCCGGGAGCCCCCGCGCCCCCCCCCGGAGCCCCCCCCGCGCCCCCCCGCGCCCCCCGCCGCAGCCUCGGGGGCCCCCUGCGCCCGGCCCGGGCGCUCGUUCCCGCGGGGGGGCCUCCCCGCCGGCUCCCCGGGAAGUAGGAAUUCCUGACGCGGCCGGAGGGGGAGGGGAGCGCGGGCGUCCUGACGGGAUUCGAGGAAGCCCCGCGGAGAUGAUUUAGGGGCCGCGAUAAUUCACUCAAUAGGGGCCUGGGGCGGCUCGCGGGCGCGGGCGGGCGGCAAGUGCGGCCGCCUCGAAAGGGCGCGCGGCGAGGUGGGGAGCGGCCCCCUCAGCGACAUUCCAGAGCUUUCAGCAGGAGCGAGCCGUGCACGGCCGUACUCUUUCAUCCGCCCGCUGUGGUGGCCUUUAGCUUCCUCUGCGUGAAUAUUAAAUUUGAGAUGGCGCCGCAGCAACACGUUUUGGAGAGUGUUCUUUGGGCUGUUAUUUGUAUGGUUGGUUUAGCUUCUCGUUCGUUAACCUUUUAAAAUGAAUAUCGUUGAAAAUGGAUAACUGUGCAACCGGAACUCGCAAAGAUUAGGGGAAAUAUAAUGCUUUGGGACAGGUUGUUACUAAACCAGGUAGAGGACGGAAGUUUUUAUUGAUCAAAACACAAAAGGCAUAGAGAGCGAGUCAGUAAAUGGCGAAUUACGCUGACAAUUCCCAAUUUUCAUGCAGAUUUGGUGAAGCUGCCCCAUUCAAAGCCACCACCGGCAGCCUGAAUGAGACCACAGAGCGGGGAACACAGAUGGGACUUGGCCACAGACACCCUGAAAAGUCAAACUCGCAUCGGGGAAAAUACUUCCAGAGAGUGUUUUCUUGGACAGGAAAAAAAAAGGACCCUCUGCCUCACAUUGUCGAAAACACCAGCAGCAGGAAAGAAAAGCAAACUCACACAGAGGCUUCUGCACGAGGGCCAUUGUAUGCAGCACAUAAGAAAAGCAGCAGGCAUCUUUGGGGAUUAAGGAUCUCAAGGUCCUUACAGUCGAGGAGGCCAUCUGGAAAGAGGUUAUUUCAUUCGCCACACCCUCAAAGUUGGCCCUGUUAG
rnacentral:lncRNA from 12 species